GACGAACGCUGGCAGCGUGCUUAACACGUGCAAGUCGAACGGUAAGGCCCUUCGGGGUACACGAGUGGCGAACGGGUGAGUAACACGUGGGUGAUCUGCCCUGCACUUCGGGAUAAGCCUGGGAAACUGGGUCUAAUACCGGAUAGGACCACUGCCUGCAUGGGUGGUGGUGGAAAGCGUUUGCGGUGUGGGAUGGGCCCGCGGCCUAUCAGCUUGUUGGUGGGGUGAUGGCAUAACAAGGCGACGACGGGUAGCCGGCCUGAGAGGGUGACCGGCCACACUGGGACUGAGAUACGGCCCAGACUCCUACGGGAGGCAGCAGUGGGGAAUAUUGCACAAUGGGCGCAAGCCUGAUGCAGCGACGCCGCGUGAGGGAUGACGGCCUUCGGGUUGUAAACCUCUUUCAGCACCGACGAAGCGCAAGUGACGGUAGGUGCAGAAGAAGGACCGGCCAACUACGUGCCAGCCGCCGCGGUAA
rnacentral:rRNA from 1 species